rnacentral:rRNA from 1 species
UACGUAGGUGGCAAGCGUUAUCCGGAAUUAUUGGGCGUAAAGAGCGCGCAGGUGGUUAAUUAAGUCUGAUGUGAAAGCCUACGGCUUAACCGUGGAGGGUCAUUGGAAACUGGUUGACUUGAGUGCAGAAGAGGGAAGUGGAAUUCCAUGUGUAGCGGUGAAAUGCGUAGAGAUAUGGAGGAACACCAGUGGCGAAGGCGGCUUCCUGGUCUGUAACUGACACUGAGGCGCGAAAGCGUGGGGAGCAAACAGG